GGGCUUGUUAUAGUCUUGUUGUUGAAAUAAGACAAAGAUGUUUGUUGCAAGUAUGUAAACAUUUAGUAUUUUGUCUUUGUUGAAAGAAUAAACACAGAUAUGUUUAAAAUGCCUUCAGCUUUAAUUGCAGUAAUAUUUAGCUGAGAAUACAGGUCUGUACCUACACAUCCUAUUUUAACACUUUCUACACCAGAGUAUUGUUUUAAACUUUACCACGGGCUCAUGAAUCAGUAAUACUUCAAGAUCUCCCAGAAUGACAUACAGUACAUGUUCAUUGUUGUGGCUCAGUAGUGAACUGGACGUCUGUAAGAAUUACUGGAUACAAGCGGUAUAACAUGCUGAAUUCUAACUCAUUACAAUUUAUUAAUAGAUUUGUCCAAAAUGUAACUGAACAUAGUAAAUAUUGCUAAGUUGGAGAUCAUUUAUGGUAACCAUGGAGAUAAAUAUAAGCAAAUCCUGUAUGAUUUCCUCUCAAACUUGUCUUUAUUCUUUAUUCUACUUAAACAGUUGUCAAAUAAGGAAACAUCCUAAAUGUAUAUCAAAUAAAUAAAUAUAACAAUAACACAUUGAAGAAUAAAUAUUUAUUGGCACUGAGCUCCUAGCCACCUAGAAAAUGUUUUGGCAAACCUUGUUAAAAGUCAUCUUUUAAACUGACAGAGCAACCAGCAGCAACCAGAAGCCCUUUUUUACCACAUCUAAAGUGUUACUAAUGGUUGUGGUAUGAUUCUCUGUACACUCUGUUUCAGCUCUGAUACUUUUUCCACAAGUCCAGUGUUUUGUUUAUGUCUGUACCCGCUCACAUUUGUGGCACUGUAGUUUAUGACGAGGUGUGAGAGCAUUUUUUACUUAGUUCAUCUGGCAUUUCAAAUUGCGCACCGAGAAGAAAGCUUCCUCGGAUUUCACUGACAUAUCCAAACAAAGGAACUUCAAAUGUGUGAAAUGGAUCGCACAGGAUAAGUAAGUCAAGUCAGUUGCAUUUUAAUUAUGAAAGAUUUUUUUCAUUACGUAUUGUUAAAUAACACACGUAACACACGUUUGUUAAUCAGAUAGCUAAGCUUGUAUUACUAUACAAUAAUAAACCUUUUCUCUCAUCUAUAAGACAAAAAUAUAUACUGAUUACAGCAAAUUAAAGUCUAAUGCUCAUAUCUAGUCAGCAACAGGCUCACUGUAACUAUGCUUUCAGCCUUUUAUUUCCUUCUAUAAAGCACACAGGUGCAACUUAAUUCAAUUGGAAGAUGUUGCUCUGGUUAUACACAAAUAAUACACUUCCAUGUUACCAGCAAAGUCGUUGUCAUGGAGAUGAUGAGGCUUAUAUAAGCUCAAAUGUAUUUUUGUUCAAUACAAGUGUAUUGUCUUUACUGUGCUCAUUUCAUUAUGAUUUGUUUAUACCCUCACAUAUAAUGGCAAAUUGAUUCAACAGUCUCUGUCUUUUCCAGCCAGGCACAGCAAUGCAAAGAGAUACACUUAAAAAUGAAUGUUUUUUUUCUCUCUUUUUGUUGUUGUUGUUGUUGUUGUUUUUUUUCCGGAUGGCUAGUAAGGCAUAAGGGAUCUGCUCUCAGUCAAAGCCAUUUUAUUCCAUCUGCAAAAGUUGAUAACUGGCAUUUUGUAUUUUCCGUCAGUAUCACUUUUAUCUGCAUCACUGUCACAAGCAGAGCUACAGCUUUGAUAUUAAAAUCACAGACGUCUGGUUUUGUGAAAAAAAACAAUGAAUGAUUAUAGUUCUUACCUUUCAGCCAACUAUGCAACAGUGAUGGAAAAAGAUCUUCCAGUGGGAGGGGUGUCAUUCACCCCACCUUUAACCUCGUGGCUGUGUCUAGAUCCAGCACCUACCAGCUUUCAGCAGAGGAUUAAACAGCUAAUGACAGAGAAGUGCUGUGAUUGACAAGUUAAGGUUUCCUUCCUCGUCAGAAGGGCCUUUGUGUCUGUCUCUUGCCCAUUUCUUCCCAGAACUCACAUUUCACAUUCCACCGUGACUUGAACAAUUUCUAAAUUUCUUCAUUGUGAAAUAGCUACAAGUGAACUUGGAGCCACUCUAUUCACACCGUACCUUUAAACUGAAUAAUGAAUAAGUCUUAUUUAAAGUUCUUACACUGCUGUUUGUCUGCCUUGACCAGGUUUUCUCACAUUGCAUGUCCACUGUUCAUCAGUGCAGCAAACAUCUACAGUCUGCUGCAGUCAUCGUCUCAGAUGAGGGAAUUUUCAGCAUCAGUGAAACAUGUGGGAGUACGUAGUUACUGUAUAUUUAUAUUAAGCCUUUGACUGUAUUUGAAUUGAAAGAAGGGCUGUUGGUGGUGGGUAUCACUGCUUGUAAAAACUAAAACAACUUCAAACAAAAGAUUUUGAAUAACCCUGUUUAGAUAUGAUUUUUUCUGGAGAGCCCCUAGUACAUUCAAAGCUAGCACUCCUGGUUCACUGGCAUACAUGUACUGCUGUACGGACAUUCUAAACAUUUUGACAGCUAAGAAAAAACACAAUGCAGGAUGUGAAGGCAGGUCAAAAAAUGAAGUGAUCCUCCUACUAAUGUUCCUGUCAUAUGUUCUAAAAUGUAUGGCGUGUAAGUUAGCGCUACAUCAAUAGAAACUGACAGAGAAUAAUAGCAUGAAGAGCAAAGCUGGAAGGACUUGUCUGUCUGUCUCUCUCAGUCAUCUGGACCAACCUGUCCACAAUCACAGCCUCUUAGAAGAUUUGCUACUGGUUGGGGAAUUUGUAGCCGAGCGAUGCGUCAGGGGUUGUCAUAUAAAAUGUCCCUUCGGCACUGCUGCACUGACACGUGAAAGUCUAUGAAACAGCAAUCAAGACAUCGGUAGCACAGAGGCCAGAGCCAAGUGAACCCAGUCCCAGAGAUCGGGACCCAGAGAUGGCCCGUGAAAUGAGUUGGAGUUGGAAAACCACCAGAGGGAUAUUCCACGCUCUACUGCCAAUUUCACUAUCAUAAUCAGCCUCAGCUUAUAGAGUGAUAUUAUAAGCCUGGCUAUUUUCGCUGACACUUUUGCUCCUUUUUUCUUUUUCUUUUUUUUGGCACAGAUGAUAAGGAAGAUGAUACGAAUUAUGCAGUGACUGAACUGUAGAUUCUGCAAUAAAGAAAAAAUAAAGAAUGAAGCUGUUGAUUCAGACUCACAAAUAUCUGCUACGAGCUUGAUGCCUGGGUAAUGAUUGAUGGUGAAGAACUUCAUUACAUAAGCAUACCUGUCUCAAGUAAAAGACUGACAAAGUAAGCUGUCAUCAAACCAUCAGCUGAGUCCUACUGAAGUUGUAAAGGGCGCCCAUUAACCAAGGCCAAAUUGAAUCCAGAUGUUGUCAAGAAGGUUAUCGCUCUAAAAUAAAUGUUGUCUCAGCAUGUUGAUAUGCUUCUUAUACUCCUAUAAAAUAUAAAUAUGCAACCACAACAAAGCCACUCAAGUUAAUGAACCAACAGAAGUUAAUAGAUGUGGUUGCUUUGUUAAAACCUCCAUGUUUUCUGUCUCACUGGCCAUAUGUCCAAAAGUGAAUCGAAAGCUUUAAAGAAGGUGACAGGCUUUUAGAUUUCUGCAACAGUCUUUUUUUUUUAAGUGGGGCUUAUUGUAAACCAAAUCUGCAUGUAAAUGAAUAAAUCAUAGCAGGUAAAGUACAGCUUAUGAUUUCUCACUUUGUUUUUAUUGCUGUAGGAUGAACUGUAGGAUGAACUGAUUUCUCAGAAUUACCCGAAGCCAUGCGGCUGACAUAUCAGAAAAACCCAAAACAUCAUCAUGCAGUCCCUUUUAUCGCAGGAUCUGAUUUAUGUACACCACUACAGUAGCUAGUCACAUGACACGUGGAUAAGUGGCCUGAUUUUUUGAGUAUACCCAAAAAGUAAUGGUGAACUUACAGAAAUAAUGAGAUUCUUGAAUCCACAUCAGAAUAAAGCACCCAUUAACCUGAGGAGACAAAGUAAGUAGUAACUAAUUAGAUUUUGGUUGGUGCUAAUUGCGUCUUAUAUUGGACAGAAGGAGAUUUAUGGAUAUUAAGGCGAUCAACCUGAUGAGUUUUGUUCUGAUUUAACAGCGACUCCUUAUUAAAUUGUUCCCAAGUAAUUUAUCAUGAUUUAUUAUUUACUAGAUAUCUUUCCCCAACAUUUGGUUUGUUAAUUCUUUUUCUUUAAUUCCUGAGGAUUUUGCGUACUUUCUAUGAAUACUUUGUCUUUGUUCUAGAUGCAAAUAGCAAAUAGGCAUACGCCAUCAAUAGCUUUGAUUUCAUUCAACUGACCUUUCAAAAUGUAGGUCACUAUGUUUAUACCCUGUUGGGAGACCACUGUAAGCAAUUCUGCAAAAGAAGACAUUGAACUCGAUGUGAUGGUGUGUAAUGUGUUAUUUUUGUGACUGUUAUUGAGUUUCUUAAUAUGUAUUUAAUUUUCAUAUGCCACAUGUUUCAAUACACAUCUGGAUGUAUUUAAAUGAAUGUAUAACUGUUUCUAGAAUGUUUAUUUUUAUCUGUUGUACUUUUAAUUGUAUGCUUUUUUUAUGGAAAAGUUUUGCUGUUUAAAGAAAUUUCAGAUUUUAGAUAAUAUACUGCACCCUUUCUUCUCUCUUUAUUAACCAAUUUGGUACCAUUGGAGGUACUGUGAAGAACCAUUUAUAUAUUUAUACUGGACUCUUUGCAACCUAAGUACCAACCCCAUGAUUCUUUAGCCUGUAGAAGCAUCUUUAGCUAUGAUAACUUUAAGUAAUUAUUUUUUGUAUGACUUUACCUGUCCCAUUUCAUUGUCAAAGAUUUUAGUCCGUUCUGCUACACUGCAUUACUUCGGUUCAUUGACGUUUGCAAUCAUUCAUUUACACACAGCUUUCUAAAGGUCCCCCCACAGCAUUUCAGUUUUGUUAGGGUCUGAACUUUGUUUCAUUGCAGCACCUUGAUUCUUUUCUUUUUCAGCCAUUCUGUUGUGGCUGUGCUCAUUGUUGCACAAAACAAUUUCAGCUAAACUUUAGCCUGAUGGCCUGACAUCUGACUAUAGAAUACUUUGGUAUACAGAGAAGUUUAUGGUCAACUCACUGCAAUGUGGCUGCAAAAGGAACCAAAAUCAACCUCCCUCCACCACUGUGUUGCUGUGAGGUGUUUUUUUCUGAUGUGCUGGAUUUGUUUUUUGUCAAACGGGGCACUGUGAAUUAUCUCCAAACAUCUCAGCUGUGGUCCCUUCUGUCCAAAGGACAUUGUUCCAGAUGUGUUGUAGUUUGUUCAGAUUUAGCGUUGCAGACUGCAAUGCUGCCAUGUUUAUUUUUAAGCGAAGAGGUUUUCUCCUGGCAGUCCUUGCAAACAAUCCAUACCCGUUUAGUCUUUUUUCUAACUUUCUAACUUUGACCUUUAGCAUGCUAACUGAGGCCUGUGGAGUGCGAGAUGUAGCCCUUAGAUGUUUUGCGAUUUCUUUGAGCAUUGCAUGGCCCGAAUUUAGGGUGCAUUUGAUGGGAUGUCCACUCCCAGGAAGACUGUGCUAAUACACUCCUGAAUACUCCUGACAACAAAGUAUCAAAACAUUUGCUUUUAUAGAGGCGCUCACACUAUACUGAUGAUCAUUUAAUCCAGUGUUUUCAAUUAGCAGCAUCUGGCUGCUACUUACUCUUUUAAUUCCUGUGGAAGCAGUAAGUGUGUACUUAGUUUUUUACAAGAAUUGCAUUCAACCCUGUGAAAACUUUAUUUUUCACAUCACUAAAAUUCUCUCAGACACUUUUUUGAAGUGUUUUUUUUUUUUUCUACAGCUUCACUGUGAAGAACCACUUUCAGUUCCAGUUUGCACAUUUGUUAUGUAUACAAAAUGUCAGUCAGUUUGGCAGUGGUACUAGGUUCCAGAUUUGAGUUUGGAGUUUUGGUGUUAGGUUGACACAUUUGGAAGUUGUAUCUUUAGUAGCAUUAUUCCAAAAUUUCUCUCACUAUGACAGUAUCUGCUGCACCAUACACAGAUCUUUUUUUUUUUUUCCCAACUUCAGUCAUGUGAACUUCCUUUAUAAAAACUUUUAGGCUUUUACAAAGGUGAAAACAUCCCGUAACAUUUUACUGCAAAAAAAUAUUGUCAAAGUACCUCAUAAUAAAAGUAAAUCUCUAAAAUCUUCUAAAGGUUAGUCAGUUCUGAAAUUCCUAACACAGAAAAGGGUUUUGUUAUUGGUUUUAAGUGAACAGCUUUAUGCAUUUAGAAAGAAUAUCUGCGCUAGAUCACCACUUGUCUGUUAUAUUGAAUACUACAGUAGGAGACCUUUGAAAAAUCUGCGUAUACAUAAAUAAGCUUCUGUGUUCUUUAAUGCGUCUGUGUGUUAAGAAUGUCCUUUCGUAAUAUAAAUCUUCAACAUACUGCAUAGAUCUCUCAGCCACAGCCAGUGGUCUUCAUUUACUUUCAAACACAUCUGCCUUUGGUAUGAAUAUGGCUGUCAGUCCCAUGAAG
ensembl:lncRNA